rnacentral:rRNA from 1 species
CCUACGGGAGGCAGCAGUGGGGAAUUUUCCGCAAUGGGCGAAAGCCUGACGGAGCAAUACCGCGUGAGGGAGGAAGGCUCUUGGGUUGUAAACCUCUUUUUUCAGGGAAGAUAAUGACGGUACCUGAGGAAUAAGCAUCGGCUAACUCCGUGCCAGCAGCCGCGGUAAUACGGAGGAUGCAAGCGUUAUCCGGAAUGAUUGGGCGUAAAGCGUCCGCAGGUGGUUUUAAAAGUCUGUUGUUAAAGCGUGAGGCUUAACCUCAUAAGGGCAAUGGAAACUGUAAGACUAGAGUACGUUCGGGGCAAGGGGAAUUCCCAGUGUAGCGGUGAAAUGCGUAGAGAUUGGGAAGAACACCGGUGGCGAAAGCGCCUUGCUAGGCCGUAACUGACACUGAGGGACGAAAGCUAGGGGAGCGAAUGGGAUUAGAUACCCCAGUAGUCCUAGCCGUAAACGAUGGAUACUAGGCGUUGUCUGUAUCGACCCGGACAGUGCCGUAGCUAACGCGUUAAGUAUCCCGCCUGGGAGUACGCACGCAAGUGUGAAACUCAAAUGAAUUGACGG